GGACAAUGAUGAAAAACACGAUCAAAACACACCAUCUUUCGGGACUGAUUGGCGCGCUCUGCGUUCCAUGCUGUCAGAUCUGCAAUUCUGAUGUCC
rfam:Brachypodium distachyon strain Bd21 chromosome 1, whole genome shotgun sequence.